GGGUGAGGUGCGGUGGGGUGUGGAUAGAGUAUUUAAGAUACUACUAUUAGAGAGGAGGCCGGAAACGGGUAGUAUUGUACAACAGAGAGAGUGAUAUUUGUCAAGCUACUUAUACGAGUCCCAAUACGGUAUUCAGCCGCUUAACGCACCAGCAUCACUCUCUGCAAACAGGUACAACCACGGGGCAGAACGGGAGCAAGGCAGCAGAAGAAGCUAACCCCCUCAAGCAUCAUCAGAUCAGAUAGACCGACCCAGAUAGAUACCAAACCUUUACUAGUACUUCUAGUACUACCAGUACCACAUUAUUAGUCAUAACAGCUAAGGAAAGCUUAGGAAAGGGAAAGGUAACCUCAGUACCAAAAACCUAAGCCUAACGUACGUGCCAACUGAGGUGCUCCUAAUUCCUAAGACUCUUCCCUUCUUUCUUGCUUUCUUUCUCUCUUUCAGCUCUUCUUCAGAACAACUCAGAAUUCAGAAGCAAAAGUUGCUAGCGCUCAGUACCAUGUACACACCCAAACACCAUAUACUACUUAUUAGUUCAGUACUUAUACUGUUAAUCUAUUCUAGGUGCGUGGUUUCUUUCAACUUUUUAAACUGUAGCUUAAUGCUAAGUGUUUGACACUUUCACAGUCUAUUCUUGAGCUGCCGGUGGAGGCAACAAAUUCCUCUUUUGUUUAGAUCUCCGCUUGCGUUCUUGAGUUUUUGGCAGCUGGGCUUUGUGGGUAUUUUGUGAGAAGCUACGGCAGAUCUGGGUUUUCCUAUUGGAAUUGAGAGUUGAGGUUAAGAUAUUGUUGGAUAGGGUUUAUCCUAGAAAGCGAAGCAAAGAAAGAGAGGUAUUGAGUGAGGGUGAGAACUGAGAAUUGAGGAAGAAGGCAAAAUAGUAUUGGGUAGCUGGUUGUGGUUGGUUGGGGCCGGGUGAUUUUCCGUUUUUGGGUACAAGAAGUUUGGUCCAACAUACGCUUUUGGAGUUUCUCUGUUGGAUUUAGGGGUGUAUUUAUUAGAUCUCGUAUUUGCACAUCCAAAAAAAAAAAAAAAGCAAGGCAAAGAAGAAACCAUUUGCUAUUUGCUAUUUUUCAUUUCCACUAGUAGACCAAUGUAACGGAUGCGGCCAAUCCAAAAAGCAAUUUUGGCUGUUUGUUUGUUGAUACAUUGUGGAAGAGAACAAGAAGGUCAAGCAAGUGUUAGCAGCUAGCUUAGCUCAGUUCCGUUUCUUGAUAAAGAAAAAAGCGUUAUCUUGGGCUCCGACCACAUUCUUGAAUAGUUAGAAAAUCUUUCUCCCUGAAGAACGAAGCAUGGCGAACAGGUGGUGGGCUGGAAACGUGGCUAUGAAUCCGUUAGUAUCACCAUCGACUCCAUCUCCUUCUCUUCACCUAAGAAACAGUGCUACUGCAGAAGAUGAGAAUGCUGCUGGGCUAAACAGGCUUGGACAGCAAAGGAGAGACCAAGACUUCUUGGAUAACACUACAACAACCACCACCACCACCACCAAUACCACUGCCACUAACAGCAGCGGAAGCAACAAUAACCCUGAUGAAGAAGAUAGCCGGGAAAAUGAGCCCGAAGCUGAGGAAAAUCCCGGAGCACUUGAAAUCUCUGAGCCGGGUAGCGGCGGUGGAAGUUCUGGAAGGCGACCUAGAGGCAGACCACCCGGCUCGAAAAACAAGCCAAAGCCGCCCAUUGUGAUAACAAAAGAAAGUCCUAAUGCUCUCCGAAGCCAUGUGUUGGAAAUAAGCAGUGGGAAUGAUGUUGCUGAGUGCAUUGCUGCCUAUGCCCAACGGCGCCAUCGGGGCGUCUCGGUUUUGAGUGGAAGUGGUAUUGUGACGAAUGUGACUCUGCGGCAACCGGCUGCACCUGGUGGGGUGAUAACCCUUCACGGGAGAUUCGAGAUAUUGUCUUUAUCAGGUGCAUUCUUGCCUGCUCCUUCCCCUCCUGGAGCUACUGGUUUGACAGUGUACUUAGCGGGCGGUCAAGGGCAAGUUGUUGGUGGAACAGUUGUUGGUCCCUUGAUGGCAUCUGGGCCGGUAAUGGUUAUAGCUGCAACGUUUACAAAUGCAACUUAUGAGAGGUUACCUCUGGAGGAGGAACCAGCCGGUGAAGGGAUUCAAUUGCAGGCAGCAUCAGGAGUUAAUACUGGAACUAUCACUGGUGCUUCUUCAGCUUCUCAAUCUCAUGUGAAUGGCUUAUUCAGGGGUUAGACAGGUGGUGGAGAUGCUGGCAUAGAAAUGUUGUCCAUGAAAUAUGGUAACUCUAAAGUACAAAGCAAAGCUGCUUGGAGUUUGGAUCGGGAAACUUGUGUUUACAGCUUGUACGCAUGGAUGCUAUUCGGGGGCAUGGUAUUAAGAUUCCUCUGUUGGUAUUUAGUGGCAUAUAAAAACUAUCUAAUAGUUGGUUAUCCAUGUAAAUUUUCUUUUAGAAAGUGUAAAUUUUCAUCAAUGAUUCUCCUUAUUCCUCUAAAAUGACUGGGAACUUCUGAUUCUGAGUAUGUAUUACAUUUUGUCUAGAGUUAAUAAGAUGAGACUUGAAAGAAAAAGAGAAAGAAAAGGAAAAAGAGAAGAUUAAAGAGACAGCUUGUUUUCUCUUAGAAUGCAUGCUAGAUUCUCUUCAGCUUAUUGUUUACCUUAUCUGUUCCGCAGGAUUUACUUUGAGGGAAAACUCGAAUUGGCAUGAGCAUCCUAUCUUUGAAUUUCUCCUACUGUUUCAUCCAUAAUUUGUUUAGGUUGAACACUGAUUUUUCUGUGUCCGUGAAACUGUUGCUGCUGUGAACUUCUCAGAACGUCAUUAAAAUAUCUGAAUCAAUUAGCAGAACAUAAAAAUAUGAAGUGGGAUAUCAGCAGCAAGAUAGAUUUUUUAGUUAAUCUUGAUUGAGUUUCCUGUUUCAGAACUGCUGAGAACCGUGGUCUGCCACUCAAUUUUCCAGGCAAGCUUAGAUGUGUCUGUUGGAAUAUGCUUAUAUUCCUUUUUCCUAGUGUUAAAAGAAGAAAAUGUAUUCACACAUUUCAGGCUUAUAUACUUCAGGUGCUCUAUGACCUUUUCUUUUCUUCACGGGGUGUUGCAUGUUUUGUAGGGACAGUAAUUUGUAAGCUGCUAUAAAAUGAUUUUGCUUGUGCAUUGUAUCCAUAAGUUUUGUUAUUCAGUGUCACCAACUGCGUUGCAUCAUCAAGUCUAGGGUUUUCUUGAUCUAAUUCUUGUUGGUAAACAUUUCAUUUUCAUAAUCUCUAAUGGCCAUGAUUUCAAGAUGUUAGCUAGUGGUUAAAUGUCUGCAUGGACCCAUUAACAUGUUGUCAUAUGUGUGAUCUAACCAGUUUAGGAUCCAUGCUGGGUUGCAUGCUUGUAGAAUUCACACUUUCCCUUGUCGGAGGUUUAUGCUGCCGGACUGGAUCGGUUAACCCCUACUUUGACAAAUAUUUUAGAUCAUUUUUGUAGGUUGAACAACAUUGUAGGGCACAGCGUAUGAUUCCAUUCGGGGACCAGGCUCUUUGUCCGUGUGCGCUGGCUUAACAUGAAUUGCUAGCUCCGAAGACCGCACCAAAGAAAAGGAAAAUGGCGACAGUCAUCAUUUGCAGAUGCAAUUUCUCUGUGGCGUAAGCACCAAAGAUGUCGUAAUUAGUCGUGGAUAGUUUCUUGAAAGGGAGAGAUAGAAUGCCAAGACGCUAGAUGCGUGUUCUUGGUUUGGUACCUUUGUUUCUAGCCACGGUAGAUGAGAGGUGGUUGUGGAUUCUCUAUGUCCUCCGUCUUCUCUAUUCUGACCUAACAAUAGGUCAAAUGUUGAAUUAGGCUCAAUAUCCCUAUCUACCAUUUGAAAUCGGUGAUUGUAUUGGUGCAAAUUAGCUCAACUCCACGUCAGUUAUGAAGACUUUGUCAUCGGUGAUGGUCGGCUAUUGGCUAUUAUCUCCAGCAGCCAUUGCAGUGGCUCAAGAUAACGUUGCUGUCACCGUGGUUAUAGAACUAUGGUCAUGGGGAGCCAUUUGCGUGAUCGAAGAAGCCAUUUCAAUUAUUUGUCGCUGAAAAUCUCAACAGUUUUCCUUUCUUCCAAUUGCCAGGACAGAGCAGAGCGUAAGCAAGAUGAUUUGGUUAAAGGUCCUUAAACAUUUGUUUGGAUGGUAGAUUAUUUGUAAAAUUUUAUUUAUUUCAUCAUUAAUAUAUUUUGUGAUCACAUUUUUGUCU